CUUAGGGAGGAGCUUGCGUCACAUUAGUUAGUUGGUGGGGUAAAGGCCUACCAAGACUAUGAUGUGUAGCCGGGCUGAGAGGUUGAACGGCCACAUUGGGACUGAGACACGGCCCAAACUCCUACGGGAGGCAGCAGUAGGGAAUUUUCGGCAAUGGAGGAAACUCUGACCGAGCAACGCCGCGUGAACGAUGAAGUAUUUCGGUACGUAAAGUUCUUUUAUUAGGGAAGAAUAAAUGAUGGAAAAAUCAUUCUGACGGUACCUAAUGAAUAAGCCCCGGCUAACUAUGUGCCAGCAGCCGCGGUAAUACAUAGGGGGCAAGCGUUAUCCGGAAUUAUUGGGCGUAAAGGGUGCGUAGGCGGUUAAAUAAGUUUAUGGUCUAAGUGCAAUGCUCAACAUUGUGAUGCUAUAAAAACUGUUUAGCUAGAGUAAGAUAGAGGCAAGUGGAAUUCCAUGUGUAGUGGUAAAAUGCGUAAAUAUAUGGAGGAACACCAGUAGCGAAGGCGGCUUGCUGGGUCUUUACUGACGCUGAGGCACGAAAGCGUGGGGAGCAAACAGGAUUAGAUACCCUGGUAGUCCACGCCGUAAACGAUGAGUACUAAACGUUGGGUAAAACCAGUGUUGAAGUUAACACAUUAAGUACUCCGCCUGAGUAGUACGUACGCAAGUAUGAAACUUAAAGGAAUUGACGGGACUCCGCACAAGCGGUGGAUCAUGUUGUUUAAUUCGAAGGUACCCGAAAAACCUCACCAGGUCUUGACAUGCUUCUGCAAAACUGUAGAAACACAGUGGANGUUAUCAGUUGCACAGGUGGUGCAUGGUUGUCGUCAGCUCGUGUCGUGAGAUGUUGGGUUAAGUCCCGCAACGAGCGCAACCCUUAUUGUUAGUUACCAGCACGUAAUGGUGGGGACUUUAGCA
rnacentral:rRNA from 1 species